UCCCCCUCAAGGAAUGCACAUCGGGCGUCAGGUGCCAGACAAUACAAUACAAUCACAACUCUCUCGCAGAGUCGCAGUUCCUCUGCGUCUGCAGUCAUCACACAAUCGCAGUGUUCUCUUGUGAAAUUCGGCCAAGUUCACAACAGUGCGUCUGUGAAAAAGUUUUAACCGGUGUCUAAUAUUUAUUAUUGUGCCUUCACGAUCGCUCUUGACUCUUUCUUUGGUAGUUCAUGUUUUAUCCGGCGUAGAGGUACUCAAACUCAGUGAGUGAGACUGUAACCAGGAAAACAUAUUCCAAGAGUUUUUUGAGUGGGGCAUAAAUAAAAAUUUAUAAGUGGUCCUCAUUUAUUGCAAACCAUUACGGCCGGGAAAAUUUAGUCGAAUAUUUGCAAUGUUACGAUUAGUGGAGGCUGUUUCUUGACGUCAGUUAAGUGAUUAGAAACCAAAUUUUCAAUAUUCAAUUUUUUAAUCUUUGACGAGUGACGCGGAUUCGGAAAAUUGCCGAAAAUGUCCCCCAGAGUGCAACAAGGUCAUGAUCAUGAACACUCGUUGCAUCAUGACCCAGACUUUAAAGGUCCCAGGAGAAAUAGAUCUUGCACUGAUAUCAUCUGUCUUCUGUUCUUCAUUAUUGCCAUGGUUGCCUGGGUAAUCGUAGGAAGAUAUGGUGAGAUUUUCAAUUUUCAUUAUUGCACCCUAAAAGUAAACGCUAAUUAAUGAUGUAUGCACAAUUCCCGUCUGUUCCUGUAAAUGUUGAAGUAUAAG